rnacentral:rRNA from 1 species
AUUGAACGCUGGCGGCAUGCUUUACACAUGCAAGUCGAACGGUAACAGCCCGCAAGGUGCUGACGAGUGGCGAACGGGUGAGUAAUGCAUCGGAACGUGCCCAGUCGUGGGGGAUAACGCAGCGAAAGCUGCGCUAAUACCGCAUACGAUCUAUGGAUGAAAGCGGGGGACCGUAAGGCCUCGCGCGAUUGGAGCGGGCGAUGUCAGAUUAGGUAGUUGGUGGGGUAAAGGCUCACCAAGCCAACGAUCUGUAGCUGGUCUGAGAGGACGACAAGCGACACUGGGACUGAGAGACGGCACAGACUCCUACGGGAGGCAGCAGUGGGGAAUUUAGGACAAUGGGCGCAAGCCUGAUCCAGCAAUGCCGCGUGCAGGAAGAAGGCCUUCGGGUUGUAAACUGCUUUUGUACGGAACGAAACGGUCCUGGUUAAUACCCGGGGCUAAUGACGGUACCGUAAGAAUAAGCACCGGCUAACUACGUGCCAGCCGCCGCGGUAAAAC